rnacentral:lncRNA from 1 species
GUGGGAAAGAUUAUUCAAACCUACUUACAUGUAUUGCAUAGUUAAACCGUGGAUCCAGAGAAACUAAUUAUACAAUCAAGUCAUAUGUGCAUGUGAGUGAAGUGAAGUGAAGUGAUAAGAAUAAAAGGGGUGAUAAUGGUGAGGGGUGAUAACUGAUGGUGAAUAUCUAAUUCUACAAUUGCUCCUUGGGGAAACAUACCUCCCUAAUCUGAAAAUAAGGACUUGGUUGUCUUUCUUUUCUUUUGCAUUGGGACUUUUGUCCUCUUUUUUUCUUUUCUCAUUUUUUUAGAGAUCAGCCAACCCUUUCAAUGCGCUGAUAAUAUCAGGGAGUAUCAACUAAAAUAACUGGAGCUUUAUUGGAUAAGUAGAAUAAGAUAUAAUAGCAAUGGAUAUUUUUGGGUAUUCCCACCUAGUGUAGGAGUAGAACAUUUUCUAAGUAGAUGUGGAAUAUAUAUGGGUGGAUGAAGGAAUGCGUAUUCUGAGGUAGGAGCAGCAUGAGUAUGUGUCUCCAGGAUAGAAAUAUCAUAGAGUGUAGUGCGUAUAUGUGGGUGAUACUUCUAGGAACAUAAGUAGCACAUAGUGAAUAUGGUGGAUAUAAGUGUUUGCGUACUUCUGAGGACAGAAGUAGCUAAGAUCAAAGAAUGGAGAUCACCUAAUAUUGACUUUAACUGCAUGACUGGUUCCUUAGGGUCUACACAACUUAACUAUCCUUAAUGAUUAUAGGUUGAAAUAUGAGUGGAUGUUUUCCUAAUCUAGCAAGCAUGAGUAUUUGGUUGUGGUAGGCAUUUAAACUCUUGUCAUAAAGGAACUCAUCAUGUAGCAAAUUAAAAUUUUCAAAAUAAAGUUCUCUAGAACUCUAGCAUCUCUCGGAACAAGAUUGAUAACAGCUCAAAACCUUCCCAUAUCAUAUCCAUCAACUACCUAGACUUAGAUCA